CUCCCCAGCUAUCCCAUCCUGAAUGUACCCAAUUUUGUCUGAUCUUGGAAGUUAGGAAGGUUGGGCUUGGAUGGGAGAAGGUCACCAGUCAGAUGGGAGU
rnacentral:rRNA from 1 species